CACGGCGAAGGCAAUCCCAUGAUGCAUUUCACCAGCUCAGAGUUCCAGCUCUCAGAUUUAAAAACAUGGCGGACGGAGCCGGCACUGCGAGGGAAUUUCUGUACAAAUGGAUGAACGUGGGCCGGGGAAGGUGAACUCUGGUCAGACCGGCUGGAGGCAGCGUUAGCUCCCUUUAUGAAUAGUUUUUUUUUCUUUGAAUGUAAUAAGGUUUUCUCUCUUAACAUUAUUAUUUUUGCUUGCUAUGUUUUUAUUGUCACUAUGCUUAUUGUAGUAUCACAUCUCAACUAGUGGGCAUGGGUAAAUAAAAAAAAUUAAAGUUUA